UGGGGAAUAUUGGACAAUGGGGGGAACCCUGAUCCAGCCAUGCCGCGUGUGUGAAGAAGGGCUUCGGAUUGUAAAGCACUUUAAGUUGGGAGGAAGGGCAGUAAGCGAAUACCUUGCUGUUUUGACGUUACCGACAGAAUAAGCACCGGCUAACUCUGUGCCAGCAGCCGCGGUAAUACAGAGGGUGCAAGCGUUAAUCGGAUUUACUGGGCGUAAAGCGUGCGUAGGCGGCUAAUUGAGUCGGAUGUGAAAUCCCCGAGCUUAACUUGGGAAUUGCAUUCCAUACUGGUUAGCUAGAGUGUGGGAGAGGAUGGUAGAAUUCCAGGUGUAGCGGUGAAAUGCGUAGAGAUCUGGAGGAAUACCGAUGGCGAAGGCAGCCAUCUGGCCUAACACUGACGCUGAGGUACGAAAGCAUGGGGAGCAAACAGG
rnacentral:rRNA from 1 species